rnacentral:rRNA from 1 species
AUACGUAGGGUGCAAGCGUUAAUCGGAAUUACUGGGCGUAAAGCGUGCGCAGGCGGUUUUGUAAGACAGUGGUGAAAUCCCCGGGCUCAACCUGGGAACUGCCAUUGUGACUGCAAGGCUGGAGUGCGGCAGAGGGGGAGGGAAUUCCGCGUGUAGCAGUGAAAUGCGUAGAUAUGCGGAGGAACACCGAUGGCGAAGGCAAUCCCCUGGGCCUGCGCUGACGCUCAUGCACGAAAGCGUGGGGAGCAAACAGGAUUAGAUACCCUGGUAGUCCACGCCCUAAACGAUGUCAACUGGUUGUUGGGAAUUUAUUUUCUCAGUAACGAAGCUAACGCGUGAAGUUGACCGCCUGGGGAGUACGGCCGCAAGG